rnacentral:misc_RNA from 1 species
UCACGUCUUACGACGGCAGUUUCACUAGAGUUCCCAGCGUUACCUGAUGGCAACUAGUGAUGGGGGUUGCGCUCGUUGCUGGACUUAACCAAACACCUCACGGCACGAGCUGACGACAGCCAUGCAGCACCUAUAUAAAGGCCCUUUCGGGAAGUAUCAUCUCUGAUACCGUCCUCUACAUUUCGAGCCCAGGUAAGGUUCUUCGCGUUGCAUCGAAUUAAACCACAUGCUCCACUGCUUGUGCGGGCCCCCGUCAAUUCUUUUGAGUUUCACCCUUGCGAGCGUACUCCCCAGGCGGCAUACUUAAUGCGUUAGCUCCGACACAGAAAGGGUUGAGCCCUCCUACGUCUAGUAUGCAUCGUUUAAGGCAAGGACUAC